GAGACUUUUAUGUUCGUUUCCGAUGGCUCCUGUCCCCCGCGUGGUGCUUUAAUCUUUGGUCAAUGCGACAACCUGAAGCAUCUCUACAUUUAUUGUGUGGAGUUGAAACACCUUUAUUUGUUUGGAUGCCCAAUGAGUAUGGAGAACACAAUUUUCACUCCAAGUCUGGAGAAUUUUCAGUUUACUGGGGUUGUGGAGGCCAAGGUCAAUUUUGUGGCAACUCCGCGAGGUUUAUUAGAUGCAGAAUUCAUUAUUGAGAAUUGCCGGUGGACCUCUCAAUAUUUUGCUUUAUUGAAAGAUCGUCUUGGAAUUUUUGACUGCACAGGAAAACUGGAGAUAACUAUUUGUGAUGCCGAGGGGAUCAUAAUACCAGAAAAUUGCAGAAGGGAACGGUCUCCAAUAUUACCUCGUGUCAAGCAGCUGCAACUAACUGUUGCUGUUCCUCUACGGGACGGAGAUUAUCGGUUGCAGGACUUGGAUCGCUCCUUGAGUUGGAUUGCACCAUCUGCAGAGAUUCUACCCCAUCAAAAUGAUAGCUCGAUCUGUAGCACCAUCUGAAGAUCAAAAUGAUAGCAUUGUCCCUCUUUAACUGAACUCAUAUUUCUAGAACUUCCUCAAAACCCAUGGUAUGAAUCAACCUUUACCUAGUUUUAAGAAGCUGCAGCUAUCCAUCUUAGUUUUCUAAUAGUUGCCAGGGUUUCCAAAUUUCCGAGUUGAGAGAUUUUUGGUGUGGUGCAUUAUAUUGUACAUUAGGGUUGAACA